rnacentral:rRNA from 1 species
CCUACGGGAGGCAGCAGUGGGGAAUAUUGCACAAUGGGGGAAACCCUGAUGCAGCAAUGCCGCGUGGGUGAAGAAGCACUCCGGUGCGUAAAGCCCUGUCAGCAGGGAAGAAAAUGACAGUACCUAGCCAAGAAGCCCCUGCUAACUACUUGCCAGCAGCCGCGGUCAUACGUAGGGGGCAAGCGGUAGCCGGAUUGACUGGGUGAAAAGGGAGCGCAGGCGGGGGGGGAAGUAGGAUGUGAAAACCCGGGGCCCAACCCCGGGAGUGCAUUUGAAACUGCCAAGCUGGAGUGCCGGAGAGGUAAGCGGAAUUCCUGGUGUAGCGGUGAAAUGCGGAGAUAUUAGGAGGAACACCAGUGGCGGAGGCGGCUUACUGGACGGUAACUGACGCUGAGGCUCGAAAGCGUGGGGAGCAAACAGGAUUAGAUACCCCAGUAGUC